rnacentral:lncRNA from 1 species
UUCAGGAAGCAUUGUAAUAUUUCUGAUGAUUUUUACAUUCUCUGUAGGAUGAAGUGCUCGUGAAAACAGAAGACAUUAGUGUUCACAUAGCUCUGGAGGAGCUGGGAAUAUUUUAGCUGUUUGGACAGAAUCUCUAAAAACAUUUGAUUCUGAAUUGUAUUAAUUAAUUCUCACACAAAUAUUUAUAAAACAAUAAAUUAAGUGAAAUUAUUUGUAAAUAUAUUUUUCAUAGUUUCCUUGGUUAUAUAAUAUCCAUAUUAAUUUCCUUAAUUUUCAUCUGCAAUGCCAGUUGCUUUGGCUGUUUCUGUGUCAAAUAAUUUGUCUUUCUCUUUCUAUCACAUAAACUACAUGAGCAUUUUUGAAAUUGCUGUCCCAUUUAUUCCUUGAUGGGCUAUAAUAGUCCUAAUCAAUAUUGUGUUGGAGUCCAUUUGGCCCACAGUGCUGUCAUUUUUGCAGCAAAUGGGAGUCAUUUGCUGUCUUGCUGUCUCGUACAAAAAUAAAAAAGAGAUUUAUACUUUUUUAUACUUGCAGUUAACUCUGCUUGUUCUUUGUGCAGAAAGAAAAUAAGAAAAAGGAGGGUUUGUUUUUUCACCUUUUUUUUUCCUACUAGAAAGAAGCAAUAUGUUUUCUGCAAAUAUGUUGAAUGGGAAGAGAAAAGCUGAAGAACAUCCUACCUGCAGGACAUCUUCCAAAAAUUUGUCACUGACCUUCUUCCAUCAUUUAAGGGUUCUUGCUUCUCACUGGCAAAAGGAGCCAUUUUCACAAACCUUUUGAAACCAGACUGGCAUGAAAGUUGAGGAGAACUAGCUUAAGGAUCAGUCCCUGAAAUUGAUGAAGAAGAAACAGAAUGGUGACUCAGCUUCUUCCCAUGGAAAUAAAAAGCAGCCAAACAACAAUCCAGCUCCCCCUCAAAAAAAGAAACCAAAACAAAUCUCCACAAGGGAGAUUUCUUCAGAAGGGUACAGGUAUUGUGAGCUAGUUAAAAUUAAGGUCUAAUAUUUUUGUGUCUGCAUCUGGAUGAGAGCA